UCUUGAUACAUGUAGUUAAUUUCACAAAAGGAUAAACAAAUUAAUAUAAUUUAAAAACUAAAGAAAUCAUUUUCUUCCAGCCUGUGAGUAAGCGAAAAGAGACAAUAAUCUAAAUACUAGAAACUCAAGCUUGUAUCUUCGAGAAAAUGAAGUUUGUAUUGCAUACUCUGCAAGCAACUUGCAUAGUGCUUCUUAUUGCUGUAUGUGUGCAGGAGAUAGUUUGCCAAAGAUGCCAAAUGAUUGGACAUUCAUGUCGAGAUACUGGGCCUUUCUUUGGAGGGAACGGUCGUUGUGCGAGAAGCAGGCCGUCUUUUAGCUGUAUAAGGAUUGGGAGAAAGUGUCGAUGUCGAUCGUCGAUGAUUCUGAACAUUACCCCACCACCUCAACUAGUUGGCACAGUUGGCGAGUCAACUAAUAUAACGGAAUCUAUAACAAGAAUCGAAUAAGACAACAAAAGCAGACACAGUAAACACUGGACCAAUAAUGAAUAUGCAUAGAUUUAAAACAGUGUUGAUGAUUUUUAUUUUGUUCGUUGUUUUACAAGAAGUGGUUGGGCAGAAGUGUGUACGGCGGGGAUAUAGAUGCCGAGAUCGCAAACCACCAGGAAACGACCAUGGGCUGUGUGAAAGUACAGGAUCUUCGUAUAGAUGUAUUAGGAUAGGCAGAUACUGCAGAUGUCAGUCAACAGAAGUAUUGAACGAUCCUGCACCGUUUCCUACAGAAUCUACUGAUGACUUUUUCAUCGAUAUUGACAUAAAUAAAUGAGUUUAGACGAAAAGGAAACA